rnacentral:lncRNA from 1 species
AGGACAAGGUGGAGGAGAUGAGGAGGACUCUGUCUAUCAGUGACUAGGGUUUGUCUGUGUCAGAUUUUAAGGAGGGACGUGCCACCCAGAGUGAAAGUGUGGACUAUCAGUCCACGGCUUUCACAUUAAAAAAGGACGAGGGCCGCGAAGCUGGAAGGCUGACAGCGCCCGUGUGUAGUAAAUUUUGGCAUGAGGUAGGUACUUGCCUGCCACAAGGGACCGAUAC